rnacentral:tRNA from 1 species
AACCUUAGUGGACUAUCAGAGAUUGUUUGUUUUAGACCAAGAGGUUAGGGGUUCGAAUCCCUUCGGGC